rnacentral:rRNA from 1 species
GAAUAUUGGACAAUGGGCGAAAGCCUGAUCCAGCCAUGCCGCGUGUGUGAAGAAGGUCUUCGGAUUGUAAAGCACUUUAAGUUGGGAGGAAGGGCAGUAAGUUAAUACCUUGCUGUUUUGACGUUACCGACAGAAUAAGCACCGGCCAACUCCGUGCCAGCCGCCGCGGUAAUCCGGAGGGUGCAAGCGUUAAUCGGAAUUACUGGGCGUAAAGGGCACGCAGGUGACUUGGCGAGUCGGGUGUGAAAGCCCUGGGCUUAACCUGGGAAUUGCAUUCGAUACUGCCGAGCUAGAGUAUGGGAGAGGAAAGUGGAAUUCCCGGUGUAGCGGUGAAAUGCGUAGAUAUCGGGAGGAACAUCAGUGGCGAAGGCGGCUUUCUGGCCCAAUACUGACACUCAUGAGCGAAAGCGUGGGGAGCAAACAGG